rnacentral:rRNA from 1 species
UACAGAGGGUGCAAGCGUUAAUCGGAAUUACUGGGCGUAAAGGGCGCGUAGGUGGUUGAUUAAGUCGUGUGUGAAAUCCCUGGGCUUAACCUAGGAAUUGCAUAUGAAACUGAUUGGCUAGAGUGUGGGAGAGGGAAGUGGAAUUUCCGGUGUAGCGGUGAAAUGCGUAGAUAUCGGAAGGAACACCAGUGGCGAAGGCGACUUCCUGGCCCAAUACUGACACUGAGGCGCGAAAGCGUGGGGAGCGAACAGG